AGCAAACCAGACCACACGGAGUUUAUUAGCAAGAGAAACGAGUGAACUAAAGGGCUCUUCUGAACAAACUGUAUUUUACAAGGAGUUACAAGGAGUAACUGGUCGAAGUUUUGUCGAGGAUUGUCGAGGAUUUAGAGGUUUUGUUUUCCUAUUCUCCGGUUGGUUUUUUGUUUACCCUGACAAACUGAGGGGGAGAAAGAAGCUGAGUUUAUUGUGCAACCCGCCGAUGGACAUACAGACGGACAAAGGACGUGCCACAGACAAGCAGAGAGUACAUGGCAGGUUUCCCAGAGACUAUGGGUUGAGGAGGAAUUGGAAAUUUGUCGGCUUAGACCUGGUGUCAUUCCAUCAGUGUUAAACUUCCAGGCUCAUCUUGGAAGAGUACGUGCCAGAAAGACCACGACUAAGCAGCCUUGAGAUCUUAGACAGCGUCUCCCUGAGGUGGGUGUCAACGGUGUUCACAGUCAGGUCUGUGGUAAUCCCUUCAAAAAACAAAACAGAAAAAAAUCUAGAUUAUAAAUCAACAUGUAACCAAAGCACUCUGUAUAUAAUGCCAUAGUAUAGGAUGUAGUUCAGAAAAUGUCAAAGUAUAGUAUGCUUUACUCAAGAAUAACAUAGUAUGGCCUGUAGUUCAUAGUACAGCAUGUUGGCAAGAAAAAAAACCAAAACAUAGAUUAUUAUUUCGUUCAAAAAGCGUAAAAUGAUAGGAUGUUAUCUAAAAUUGUCAUGUAUGAUAUGUGGUUCAAAAAAUGUCAUAGUGCAGUAUAUUGUCAAAAUAGUAUGUUAUUCAAGAAAACAUCAGAGUAUAAUAUGUCAUCUAAAAAAUGCCAUAGAAUAAUAAUUUCAUUGCACAAGUAAAAGUAUAGUAACUUUUAAAACUGUUCGAAUUCUUAUAUGUUGCUAAAAAAAAACAAAAAAAACAAAAACAAAAAAAAGUCAUAGUAAUAUGUCAGUUAAAAAAGCCUAUAGUAUAGCGUGUCGCCCAACAAACAUCAUAGUAUAGCAUGUCGCUCUAAAAACGUCACAGUAUAGCCUUUAGUCCACAGCUGUCAGUAGGUGAGGAGCAACACAAAAACAGUCCAAACGCUGGUUUCCAGAGGGUUAGACGAGAAUUUAUUUGAAAGAGUAAGUUUACAACAACACAACAUGUGAGGGGGUUGAAAACAAAUGGGUGUUAGUAAAAUAAAAAUAAAUCAACAGAACUAAAAGUGAACUUCAUGUUGACAUUGAUGGGCAUUCCAACCAGGAACAAAGUAAAAGAUAAUCAGUACGAAAAAAAACUCUUCCUGUUCACCUCUUAAAACCCCAAAACACACCGCAGUAGCACCCUAAACUAAAACUACCCAUGGGUUCCCCGUUUUCCUUUCUGAACAAUUCAAAGGUCCCUCUCUAUCUCCCUACAUAUCCACCAACCACUGGAACACAUCUCCAAAGUUCUGCCGGGCCAGCUCAGCUUCCCCUCAGAAGAAGUGCCGCCACCCGCCAGAUGAAGGAGCCUUUUGAGAGGCAGCUGGCAUCGUGAUUGGACUGUAUUUUGGUCUGUUCCAAUCCAGCUUCAGCUCCAGAGACGGCAGGCAGGACGAGUCAACGGAGGCUGGAUGGACGAAGGCAUGCAGCUGAGUACAAUCCAGAAAACAACAGAGGAGGAGUGCAGCAGCCCAGGGCCAGAACAAACACAGUAGCAUCGUAUGUCUCUUAGAAAGCAUCAUAGUAUAGCAUUUGGGAUGAAAAAAUGCCAUCAUAUACAUCAUAUAUUGUACAAAUAACAAGUCAAAGCAAAGACACAUACAUUGUAGAAUUGUAGUAAUUGUGGGCUGACUGGCCUUGGCAAUGGUCGUCGGAAUGUGAAUAACACUGACCACACCUCACAGAGGUUAUAAGCUGAGGCAACAUCAACCACCACCAGAACUGAAGCAGAACAGCCGCUUGGAUGAGAGGUGAAACGUCUUCAAGGAACCUUCUUAAAGUCCAGUUGGAUUGAUUUAAACAACUUUGGAUGACUGAUUUACUGAUUAUCAGUAUUUUAUUUUUUACUGAUUUACAGUA